UGUCGUUUUUUCUCCAUAUCCUCAUGGCGUCUUCUUCUUUCCCGUACAUUUCUUUUGCACGAUGGCACAUUUAUUUCCGUACGACAACUAUUUGCACACUUCUCCAGCCAAUGGAGCUUUGUUACUUCGCCAAGCUUUGUCCUUUUUCUGGAAUCAGCUCCAGAUUUGAGCUGCCAUAGUUUUGGAGAAGAAACAAAAUGAUCAUAGCCAAACAAAAGACAGGUCAUUCUCCAUAGAUACCGGUGCUUCCGUGAGCCGCCUUCAAAAACAAAUACUAGUUUAUUGCGAGGGUUGACUUGAGGAUGCGUUGCUUGAUUGUUUGGGUUCAAUUGGGAAGGAAAGGAGUCUCCUUGGAUAAGCUACCCACCCGCAUAGCAGUGGUUAGACCGAGAGCGUUUCUCGCGGCUUGUCACUUUUCUACCCACUCUUGGCACCACCCACACGCCCACUUGCAUAUUUCUUCCUCCAAAGAGGCCUGUUCCUUGAAGACUUUUGACUCCAAAAUAAAGAAGUGCUGACCCUCUUUAGAAAGAAUGCAUAUGAAGAAAUUGACCCCACUAACCCCACAAAUGUAGGAAAUGAUAUGAGCACUCUUCCUGAAUAAUUUAGGCCAAUAAGUUCAUGUUUGCUUUGAAUCUUAAUUAUUAUAAGAAGUGGGACCAAUUAAGGACCAAGAGGGCCAACUUCUGUCCACUGAUAUGUUCUGCAGAUUUGUGCUGCAAGUAGAUGAAUUGUGGAGCUCUAAAAUUAGAGAAUUGGGCACAAUUUUAGCCAUAUAGUUUGUUUAGAAACAUUAUUAAUUGUUAAACACUUCU